UCUAAUUGAAUGUUUGUGGUGGUUUUUUCUUUUUGCCCUUAUAUUUAUGUUUAGAAAAUGAACGAAGUGUUAUCCUAAAUUAGGAGGGAUCAUAGUCUUCAAAUAAAACAUUUUAUCUUUUUAAAUCGAAAAGUAUUAUGUAUGACUAA